rnacentral:rRNA from 1 species
GAUGAACGCUGGCGGCGUGCCUAAUACAUGCAAGUCGAGCGAACAGAUUAUUAGCUUGCUCCUUUUACGUUAGCGGCGGACGGGUGAGUAACACGUUGAUAACCUACCUAUAAUACUUGGAUAACUUCGGGAAACCGACGCUAAUACCGGAUCAUAUCUUGAACCGCAUGGUUCAAUAGUUUACGGCGGCUUUGCUGUCCCUUAUCGAUUGAUCCGGGACGUAUUAGCUAGUUGGUAAGGUAACGGCUUACCAAGGCAACGAUACGUAGCCGACCUGGGAGGGGGAUCGGCCACACUGGAACGGGGACGCGGUCAAGACGCCUAAGGGAGGGAGCAGAAGGGAAUGUGACGCAAUGGGCGAAAGCAUGACGGAGCAACGGGGAGUGAGUGAUGAAGGCCUUCGGAUCGUAAAAACCUGUUAUGAGGGAAGAACAAAUGUGUAAGUAAAUGUGCAGAAAGUGACGGUACCUGAACAGAAAGCAACGGCUAACUACGUG